rnacentral:rRNA from 1 species
CCUACGGGAGGCAGCAGUGGGGAAUAUUGCACAAUGGGCGCAAGCCUGAUGCAGCCAUGCCGCGUGUGUGAAGAAGGCCUUCGGGUUGUAAAGCACUUUCAGCGGGGAGGAAGGCGUUAAGGUUAAUAACCUUGUCGAUUGACGUUACCCGCAGAAGAAGCACCGGCUAACUCCGUGCCAGCAGCCGCGGUAAUACGGAGGGUGCAAGCGUUAAUCGGAAUUACUGGGCGUAAAGCGCACGCAGGCGGUCUGUCAAGUCGGAUGUGAAAUCCCCGGGCUCAACCUGGGAACUGCAUUCGAAACUGGCAGGCUAGAGUCUUGUAGAGGGGGGUAGAAUUCCAGGUGUAGCGGUGAAAUGCGUAGAGAUCUGGAGGAAUACCGGUGGGGAAGGCGGCCCCCUGGACAAAGACUGACGCUCAGGUGCGAAAGCGUGGGGAGCAAACAGGAUUAGAUACCCUUGUAGUC